rnacentral:rRNA from 1 species
UGGGGAAUAUUGCACAAUGGGCGCAAGCCUGAUGCAGCCAUGCCGCGUGUAUGAAGAAGGCCUUCGGGUUGUAAAGUACUUUCAGCGGGGAGGAAGGCUUUUUGAUAAGGUUAAUAACCUUGUCGAUUGACGUUACCCGCAGAAGAAGCACCGGCUAACUCCGUGCCAGCAGCCGCGGUAAUACGGAGGGUGCAAGCGUUAAUCGGAAUUACUGGGCGUAAAGCGCACGCAGGCGGUCUGUCAAGUCGGAUGUGAAAUCCCCGGGCUCAACCUGGGAACUGCAUUCGAAACUGGCAGGCUGGAGUCUUGUAGAGGGGGUAGAAUUCCAGGUGUAGCGGUGAAAUUGCGUAGAGAUCUGGAGGAAUACCGGUGGCGAAGGCGGCCCCCUGGACAAAGACUGACGCUCAGGUGCGAAAGCGUGGGAGCAAACA